rnacentral:rRNA from 1 species
AUUGAACGCUGGCGGCAGGCCUAACACAUGCAAGUCGAACGAGUGGCGGACGGGUGCGUAAUGUCUGGGACACUGCCUGAUGGAGGGGGAUAACUACUGGAAACGGUAGCUAAUACCGCAUACCAUCAGAUGUGCCCAGAUGGGCUUAGCUAGUUGGUGGGGUAACGGCUCACCAAGGCGACGAUCCCUAGCUGGACUGACAGGAUGACCAGCAACAGUGGAAUCGUGAAACGGCCCAGAUUCCUCGGCAGGGAAGCAGAGGGGAAUAUUGCACAAAGGGCGAAAGCCUGAUGGAGCCAUGCGGCGUGUAUGAAGAAGGCCUUCGAGUUGUAAAGUACUUUCAGCGGGGAUGCGUUACCCGCAGAAGAAGCACCGACUAACUCCGUGCGAGCAGCCGCGGUAAUAC